rnacentral:rRNA from 1 species
CCUACGGGUGGCAGCAGUGGGGAAUAUUGGGCAAUGGGCGCAAGCCUGACCCAGCAACGCCGCGUGAAGGAAGAAGGCUCUCGGGUUGUAAACUUCUUUUUAGCGGGAAGAGCAGAAGACGGUACCUCUUGAAUAAGCCACGGCGAACUACGUGCCAGCAGCCGCGGUAAUACGUAGGUGGCAAGGGGUUUCCGGAUUUACUGGGGGUAAAGGGCGUGCAGCCGGGAAGACAAGGCAGGUGUGAAAUCCCGCGGCUUAACCGAGGAACUGCGUUUGAAACUGUUUUUCUUGAGUACCGGAGAGGUCAGCGGAAUGCGUUGUGUAGCGGUGAAAUGCGUAGAUAUAAGGAAGAACACCAGUGGCGAAGGCGGAUGACUGGACGGCAACUGACGGUGAGGCGCGAAAGCGUGGGGAGCAAACAGGAUUAGAUACCCCUGUAGUC